rnacentral:tRNA from 1 species
UCCAUGAUAGUUCAAUUGGUAAAGAAUCUGCCUGCAAUGCAGGAGACCCUGGUUCGAUUCCUGGGUUGGGAA